rnacentral:rRNA from 1 species
GACGAACGCUGGCUGCGUGCUUAACACAUGCAAGUCGAGCGAUGAAGCUCCUUCGGGAGUGGAUUAGCGGCGGACGGGUGAGUAACACGUGGGUUACGUGCCUAAUAGAGGGGAAUAGACUUUCGAAAGGAAGAUUAAUACAGCAUAAGAUUGUAGCUUCGCAUGAAGCAGCAAGUCAAUGAGUAAUCCGCUAUGAGAUGGACCCGCGUCGCAUUAGCUAGUUGGUUAGGUAACGGCUCACCAGAGCGACGAUGCGUAGCCGACCUGAGAGGGCGAUCGGCCACAUUGAUACUGAGACACGGCCCAGACUCCUACGAGAGGCCGCAGUGGGGAAUAUUGCACAAUGGGGGAAACCCUGAUGCAGCAACGCCGCGUGAGUGAUGACGGUCUUCGGAUUGUAAAGCUCUGUCUUCAGGGACGAUAAUGACGGUACCUGAGGAGGAAGCCACGGCUAACUACGUGCCAGCAGCCGCGGUAA